rnacentral:rRNA from 1 species
CAGCCGCCGCGGGAAUACAGAGGGUGCAAGCGUUAAUCGGAAUUACUGGGCGUAAAGCGCGCGUAGGUGGUUUGUUAAGUUGGAUGUGAAAGCCCCGGGCUCAACCUGGGAACUGCAUCCAAAACUGGCAAGCUAGAGUACGGUAGAGGGUGGUGGAAUUUCCUGUGUAGCGGUGAAAUGCGUAGAUAUAGGAAGGAACACCAGUGGCGAAGGCGACCACCUGGACUGAUACUGACACUGAGGUGCGAAAGCGUGGGGAGCAAACAGUAUUAGAUACCCCGGUAGUCCCUGUCUCUUAUAC